rnacentral:rRNA from 1 species
GAGCUUGCUCUCUGGGUGGCGAGUGGCGGAGGGGUGGAAUACAUCGGAAUCUACCUUUUCGUGGGGGAUAACGUAGGGAAACUUACGCUAAUACCGCAUACGACCUUCGGGUGAAAGCAGGGGACCUUCGGGCCUUGCGCGGAUAGAUGAGCCGAUGUCGGAUUAGCUAGUUGGCGGGGUAAGGCCCACCCCAGGGACGACCAUCCCGUAGCUGGUCUGAGAGGAUGAUCAGCCACACUGGAACUGAGACACGGUCCAGACUCCUACGGGAGGCAGCAGUGGGGAAUAUUGGACAAUGGGCGCAAGCCUGAUCCAGCCAUACCGCGUGGGUGAAGAAGGCCUUCGGGUUGUAAAGCCCUUUUGUUGGGAAAGAAAAGCAGUCGGCUAAUACCCGGUUGUUCUGACGGUACCCAAAGAAUAAGCACCGGCUAACUUUUCUUUCGAGCAGCCGCGGUAAUACGAAGGGUGCAAGCGUUACUCGGAAUUACUGGGCGUAAAGCGUGCGUAGGUGGUUGUUUAAGUCUGUUGUGAAAGCCCUGGGCUCAACCUGGGAAUUGCAGUGGAUACUGGGCGACUAGAGUGUGGUAGAGGGUAGUGGAAUUCCCGGUGUAGCAGUGAAAUGCGUAGAGAUCGGGG